rnacentral:rRNA from 1 species
UACGAAGGGGGCUAGCGUUGUUCGGAAUUACUGGGCGUAAAGCGUAUGCAGGCGGACUUUUAAGUCGGGGGGUGAAAUCCCGAGGCUCAACCUCGGAACUGCCUUCGAUACUGGAAGUCUUGAGUCCGGGAGAGGUGAGUGGAACUCCGAGUGUAGAGGUGAAAUUCGUAGAUAUUCGGAAGAACACCAGUGGCGAAGGCGGCUCACUGGCCCCGGUACUGACGCUGAGAUACGAAAAGCGUGGGGAGCAAACAGG